rnacentral:misc_RNA from 1 species
CUGCUUGGAGUGAAGACGUGUCUUGUUGAGCUGUGCUUGGAAAGUGUGUGUUGACGUUGGUGGUUGACAGUCACAGUUGAUGUUGCAGUAAGUGUAUGUACAUGUCCUGGAAGAGCAGUAAUAGUCGUGGAGUGCCCAUGCUCCGCCAUGCCUUCUCUUGAUGGUGAGGCGGCAGCAGGAUACAGCGGCGCCAACAGCAGCAUGAGCGGGGUGAGCGUAGCACCGGUGGUGGAGGCCAGCUUCCUGUGCGAGGCGCUGCGACAGGCGCAUGGCGUUGAGGAGAUCCUGGUGCUAGAUUGUCGAGGUGCGGACGACUACGGUGCGGGCCACAUCCGCGGCGCCGUCAGCGUGGGCCUUCCCUCCCUCAUGCUGAGACGCUUGGCCUCCGGCAAGUUGAGUCUCCUGCAGGUGGUGCGUCACCUCGCUGCUGACGGGGGUGACCGCCUCGCCAGGCUCCACCAGUGUGUCCCUAUCGUCCUCUACGACCACGCCCACGCCUACAACCCCCACAAGCCCACGCUCAUGAGCAUCCUCUGCCGCAAGUUCAACCAAGAGGGCUGCAGUGCUCACUGUCUAGCAGGAGGAUUUGAUGAGUUCCGGUCGAGGUUUCCGGAAUGGUGUGAGUCGGCCUUACCAUCGGAGCCUCCCAUCGUGGGGCUGAAGAGCUUGAGAAUCACCUGUCUGGAGGCGGAGGAGGAGGCGGUGGUGGAGGGAGCGUGUGAUUCCUCCCUGGGUAGAGACACACCCCUGGAUGAUCUGGGCUUCCCCGUGGAGAUCCUGCCUCACCUCUACCUGGGCAACGCCAAAAAUUCGGGAGAUCGCGAUGCGCUUAAUAGACAUAAGAUACGGUACAUAAUCAACGUCACCCCAAACCUGCCAAAUGUGUUCGAGGAGUCUGGGAGCUACAAAUACAUGCAGAUCCCUAUAGCUGACCAUUGGAGUCAGAACCUGGCUUCAUUCUUCCCCAAAGCUAUCCAGUUUAUCGAGGAGGCGCGUGAGUCAGGCGUGGGUGUGUUGGUCCACUGCCUGGCUGGCAUCUCCCGCUCCGUCACCAUCACCGUCGCCUACCUCAUGUACAAGGAGAAGCUCAACCUGGAGGAGGCCUACGAGUACGUGCGCGUCAAGAAGGCCAACAUCGCUCCCAACUUCAACUUCAUGGGUCAGCUGCAGGACUUCCAGCAACAGCUGAACCUGUCCCCCCACAAGUGCCAGUGUGUGUCGGAGUGCCGCUGCCGCCACCUCCAUUUCCUCACCCCCGCGCGCACCUCCCCAGACUCGGGCAUCGAGUUUGACCGCUUCUCCUGAGGACUGACCCCCGCUGCCUCCACGCCCGCCGGCGGCUUCCCAAGGCUCGCCAUCGAGUCGCCGCAGCCGCCCUCCACGCCGCCCGCGGGUCUGCAGGCAGUGGCCACUGCCCCUUCCCAGGGGCUGGUUUCACCCUGCCGCCCCCACCAGCAUGGGGGGGCGCUACCAGAGGAGGAGGAGAGGGACGAGGGGGAAGGAGGGGAGGUGGAAGAGGAGGAAGAGAAGAAGGAAGGAGAGGAGAGGUCUAACCUCCCCACCUGAGCAACCUCGGCGGCGAUGGCCCCAUCCAAGUGCCAAAGGUGAGCCUCCCCUUGGUGGGCCCCACAGGUGCCCCGGGGUGCCCUUGGGGAGGGCGUGGGGCGCCACACACGGCAGGGGACACAGCACCAGCCUGUCGCCUCCUUGCCAUAAUCCAAACUCCCAGGUACAAAUUUUCUCGACGAGUGAUCUCGCUUCUUUCGGGGAACCUCGGCGGCUGGCGGCGGUGGUGGUGGUGGGCGGCUCCCCGCCUUCCCCACGCCCGCCUGCCCGACGCUUCAUUCACAGGAAAAAAUAUCUUUAUUUUUAAGGAAGAUAUAUUAAAGACAAGUUUUUUUGGAAAUGUGUGGUGAAGGCUGCCACAAGUUGGCCUCUGACAGCCGGUGUGUUCAGCAGUGGACGUGUAGCCAGUGUGUGGAGAUGUGUUGAAGGCUUCUCGACUCGGCUCGUACAAACUCAGUUGCCAGGACAAACAACGCUCCAAAAAGUUGGAACUUCAAAAAUGAUAUUUAUUCAGCAAAACAAAAAACUAUUCAAAUUAAAAAAGUGAUAUAGAUCUCGCAGUAUUUUCAUAACAGAUAUGAAGAAAAUAUUAAAAAGCAUCGUUGGUGAUUUUUUUUCUUUUCUCCUUCUGGAAACAGACACAGUUGUUUUUAGAAGGACAGACUGACAGCCUUGUGUGUGUCGUACCUCGGUGUUGUUGGUCGUAAGCUCAACGUGUAUAGCAGCAUCUCCUUCAGUUACCGCUGACGCCUUCUGAGAGCCAACACCUCCCAGGACCUGGCAGGACGCCUCCUCCACCUGGCUUAUGUAGGGUGUUUCUUCACCUUCGGUAACGCCGAAGGACCCUGGAACACUCAAGCCAAAACAUCAGGUGUUUGCAGGACCUUUAGCUACAACACCAGGUGUUCCGGGACCUUCAGGGCCUUGGUGGACACUCCAGUCAUGACACCAGACACACAGCGUGUUGAGGCUGGAGGCAGUCCAUGUGAUGUGUUGAUGUUCACCUUCCCGGUCCUGCAGGAGGUCUGGCUUCACCUUCCAGGUCCUACAGGAGGUCUGGCUUCACCUUCCAGGUCCUGCAGGAGGUCUGGCUUCACCUUCCAGGUUCUGCAGGAAGUCUGGCUUCUCAUGUGUAAAUUGCUUCAAGCCGAAAUUAACAGACAUAGCUUAAAAUUAUACGGAAUGGACUAUGUACAAAAUUUUUAUAUAAUUUCUUAUGUAUCAGAUGAACUUUUUUUUCUUCGUUGAAAAAAGAAACCUAAUAUAUUUUUAACAUGUAACUCAAAGCGGCCAAUGUGUGCGUGUUAUUAACUAGUGAACACUGCUGUACUGUACACAGUUACUGGUCCCUCGAGUAACAUUGUUCAUAUCAACGCUCAAAUGACCGGGUCAGCCGGGGUCAAGGAGUUGGCCGAUUCUCACUUGACCUAAGUAACUUCUUGACCCCUCUGACCUUCUCUCCCCCAACCCCCCUCCUGUGACCCCUAUUCUCCAGGUCUUCUCUCCUCCAUCCCCUCCCUCCUCCCUUAACAAACUCUCCUCUCAUCCUUCACCUCCCCCUCAAACAAUAUAUUCGUUGACGCUUUGAUACAAAAAAUAUAGGAACUAUAAGAUAUUCGCACAAUUCUUGGAGGAGUGGAACCUGUGGUCUCCAUAACCAGCCGCCGCAUAUGUUAUACAUGUGUGGGGGACGACUGUAGCCGUCAGUGCCUUGACAUCAAUCAUUUUUCUUUGUGUAUUUUAUGGAAGCUGUAAGUAAGGUUUUAUGUAAGUGUAGUUUUCAUCCACGCUCAUACAAGAGAGUAUAUAAAUAUAUAAAUAUAUAUAAAUUAUAUAUAUUAGAGUGUGUAUAUAUCACAUGAUGGGUAUGUGUAGUAUACAUACACAUGGCUAUGAAUAGUAUUUUUGACACUUUUCUCAAACUGACUUAACUGACUUGGCCACAGCAACAUGUAUGGUUACCUGUCCACCACCCACCUGUCAACCACCCACCUGUCAACCUCCCACCUGUCCAUCCACCCUCUCGCCUGUCUAUCCCUCACCCUCAUACCUGUCCACUCACCUAGCCAUGGUAGUGUCACCGGCCUCCAUGGUUGGUUUUAUUGUAGAGGAUUUACACACACACUACUGCUACUACUACUUACUACACACACACACACACACACACACACACACCAAACAGUAUUUUGUAAACAGAUUCACAAUUUCACAAGUCAGUAUUUUCCUCCUUCCACCCCCACCUUCACCCCCCACCUUCACCCCCUCCCUUACCAGUCAGUAUUUACUAUAGAUAAUUCCCCCUUAAACACACAAAGUCAGUCUAUAGAUGAUAACCUCAUAACACACAAUUACCUAAGUCAGUGAUCUGAUGAACUAACGCCCCUCCAGCCAGUAUCGUCGUCUCUCAAAAACACAAGUGUCACAACCAUGAUUUUGUUCACACACACAUUGCAUUAAUAACUAUAGGGUGGAAAGAUUAGCCAGUCUUGCCAGAGUAUGAUGGUGAUUGGGUAUUGUUGAGGUAUAGGAUUGGUAAUGGAUUAGUUUUUGUUAUUUAAAUUGGCUUUUCAUCGUCACGUUAACCAACUUUUUUUUUAUCAAUGUAUUUUUUUCUUCAAGGGUCCAUUAAAAGUAUGGGGAGGGGGGGAGAGGAGUUGUUUACAGUCAAAAGUAAACAGAGGGUAAAAUAAACAAAGUCGACUAUAUUUGGGUAAAAAAAAAGGUUGGUUUGCCAUUUUAACAAAUGUUUUGAAACACACACACACACACACACACAUACACAAACACAAAACUCGGGUGAAGAUUUCAUUCCUUUUUUGAUAUUGUAUUUAACAGAAAAGCCGAAUUAGGUAGUGCACUUUUUUAUAUACUAUUACAUCUAAGGUAGGAAGAAAUAAUUUGUAGUGUAGUGAUUUUUUAUAAACUUUUGGGUGUUGACAGUGUGGUGGUAUUGUAGGUUCACUUAAACACUGCUGGCUGUUAUGGUACAAUAAUUACUGCUGGCGGUGUUAUAGUACAAAUCACUGCUAGUGGUUAUUAAAAAAAAGUCAUAUAGUACACUUAACAUCAUCAACACAACAACCACCACUACCACUAUUGUUAUGGAUACACAGAAGUUAAAAAAAGAACGACGGUGCUUUGUAAAGAGAAAAUAUAAACCAUCCCCCUUUUUUAUUAUUAUACUUAAACCAAGCUGCUGGAUUUUCUCUAUAUUUAAAACAAAAAAAAAACAAAAAACAAAACAAAAAAGUCGAAUUCUCCAUCCACUUUUCUUCUGUAUACACUCAUCCAUCCAUCCGCCAACCCACCACGUCAUUCACUCGACAGCUUCCAAAUGUUCUCCUCAGUCUUAGCAAUACCGAAUUUUUGGUCAAUAUGUAAAACGAAAACCUCUUAACAGUCGGGAAGGAUAGUCGUGAGGCCAAAAAAAUAACUAAAAUAAAAGCAAAUAAAACACAUUUGAUGUAUAUACAGUAUAUAUAUAUAUAAUUUUUUUUUAAACCAGCUGAUAGAAAUGUAUACUAUGAUCAGUAUUUGACAAAUGUAUAUACAGUACUACUGCACUUUGAUCAAUGUUGAGUGAAAAUGUAUUAAGUUGAUCAGUGGUUAUUUUAAAGCUGACUGAUCAAAUGUAAUACACCUUGAUUAAAUGUAAUGUCCAAAAAAGUUAAAUGACCCCACAAAGGAUACAAGAUUAUUAUUAUUGUUUUUGUUACUAGACUCGUUUUCAACAAGACUAAAAAACAUCUUGAGUGAAAGAAUAUUUUAUAUCUUUAAAAAAAAGGCACUAACUGUAGUCUCUUUGUAUUUUUAACUGAUUUUUUUUUGGCCCAAUGUACUAUUCUGCCCAGCUGUUCAUUUAGCAUAAUGGUUGUCAGAAAUUUUAAAGAUUUUUUUUUCUGUCAACCAAUUUGCUAAUUUAUCAUUUCCCAGAGAGAGAAAGAGUGAGAAAUACGAUGUCUUCUAUUUUGAACUGAUUAUAUGAUACAGAAGAAAGAAGAAACAACAAAAAAAUAAUAGAAAAAGAGAAUAGUUUUUUGUAAUAGUAAUCACUGUUAAUGUUAUUGCUCUAUUUAACUAGGACUAUCGUUAUGAUGACUCUCCUUAAUAUGAUUAUUAUUUUAACAUGAGUUACUGUAAUUAGUAUAUCAUUUAUUAUUAUUGAAUCUUCCUAUUUUCUUUAGGUUUAUAUUGUAAUGCAAUAAACAAGACAAGUUUUA